rnacentral:rRNA from 1 species
UACGAAGGGGGCUAGCGGUGCUCGGAAUCACUGGGCGUAAAGGGCACGUAGGCGGAUUGCUAAGUCAGGGGUGAAAUCCUGGAGCUCAACUCCAGAACUGCCUUUGAUACUGGCGACCUUGAGUCCGGGAGAGGUGAGUGGAACUGCGAGUGUAGAGGUGAAAUUCGUAGAUAUUCGCAAGAACACCAGUGGCGAAGGCGGCUCACUGGCCCGGUACUGACGCUGAGGUGCGAAAGCGUGGGGAGCAAACAGG